rnacentral:rRNA from 1 species
AUUGAACGCUGGCGGAAUGCUUUACACAUGCAAGUCGAACGGUAGAGGGGGCAACCCCUCGAGAGUGGCGAACGGGUGAGUAAUAUAUCGGAACGUGCCCAGUCGUGGGGGAUAACGUAGCGAAAGUUACGCUAAUACCGCAUACGAUCUAAGGAUGAAAGCGGGGGAUCGCAAGACCUCGCGCGAUUGGAGCGACCGAUAUCAGAUUAGGUAGUUGGUGGGGUAAAGGCUCACCAAGCCAACGAUCUGUAGCUGGUCAGAGAGGACGACCAGCCACACUGGAACUGAGACACGGUCCAGACUCCUACGGGAGGCAGCAGUGGGGAAUUUUGGACAAUGGACGCAAGUCUGAUCCAGCCAUUCCGCGUGCAGGAUGAAGGCCCUCGGGUUGUAAACUGCUUUUGUACGGAACGAAAAGGUCUCUCUUAAUACGGGGGACUCAUGACGGUACCGUAAGAAUAAGCACCGGCUAACUACGUGCCAGCCGCCGCCGUAAGAC